rnacentral:rRNA from 1 species
CGUGUAGGCGGCUAGAUAAGUCAGAUGUGAAAUCCCUGGGCUUAACCCAGGAAGUGCAUUUGAAACUGUCUUGCUGGAGUAGGGGAGAGGGAAAGUGGAAUUCCUGGUGUAGAGGUGAAAUUCGUAGAUAUCAGGAGGAACACCGGUGGCGAAGGCGACUUUCUGGCCCUAUACUGACGCUGAGACGCGAAAGCGUGGGUAGCAAACA